AACCUGGUUGAUCCUGCCAGUAGUCAUAUGCUUGUCUCAAAGAUUAAGCCAUGCUAUGUCUAAGUAUAAGUCUUUUAUACGGUGAAACUGCGAAUGGCUCAUUAAAACAGUUAUAGUUUAUUUGAUGGUCUUUUUUACAUGGAUAACCAUGGUAAUUCUAGGCUAAUACAUGCGCAACUGGCCUCCUUCUUUGGAGGGGCUGUGUUUAUUAGAUACAAAACCAACCCACAUUCUGUGUGGAGCCUUGGUGAUUCAUAGUAACCGAACGGAUCGCAGUUGGCUUUCGGGCCCGCGAUGGAUCUUUCAAGUUUCUGACCUAUCAGCUUUCGACGGUAGGGUAUUGGCCUACCGUGGCAGUGACGGGUAACGGGGAAUUAGGGUUCGAUUCCGGAGAGGGAGCCUGAGAAACGGCUACCACAUCUAAGGAAGGCAGCAGGCGCGCAAAUUACCCAAUGAAAACAGUUUCGAGGUAGUGACGAGAAAUAACAAUACAGGGCAUUUUAUGCUUUGUAAUUGGAAUGAUGGGAAUGUAAAACCCUUCCAGAGUAACAAUUGGAGGGCAAGUCUGGUGCCAGCAGCCGCGUAAUUCCAGCUCCAAUAGUGUAUAUUAGAGUUGUUGCAGUUAAAAAGCUCGUAGUUGGAUUUCUGUCGUGGUCAGUCGGCGCCGCCCGUAUGGCGUGCGCGCCUGGUUUGCCCGCGGCUUUCUUCCGGUAGCCUUCCGCGCUUGAGUGCGUGUGUCGUGUGUUCCGGAACUUUUACUUUGAGAAAAAUAGAGUGUUUCAAGCAGCUUGUUCGCCCUGAAUACUGCAGCAUGGAAUAAUAAGAUAGGACCUUGGUUCUAUUUUGUUGGUUUCUAGGACCAAGGUAAUGAUUAAUAGGGACAGUUGGGGGCAUUCGUAUUGAACUGUCAGAGGUGAAUUCUUAGAUUUGUUAAAGACGAACUACUGCGAAACGUUUGCCAAGGAUGUUUUCGAUUAAUCAAGAACGACAGUAGGGGGUUUGAAGACGAUUAGAUACCGUCGUAAUCUCUACCAUAAACUAUGCCGACUAGAGAUAGGGAAAUGCCUACCUUGGCUUCUCCUGCACCUCAUGAGAAAUCAAAGUCUCUGGGUUCUGGGGGGAGUAUGGUCGCAAGGCUGAAACUUAAAGGAAUUGACGGAGGGGCACCACCAGGACGUGGCAGUGCGGCUUAAUUUGACUCAACACGGGGAAACUCACCAGGUCCAGACAUGGGAAGGAUUGACAGAUUGAUAGCUCUUUCUUGAUUCUAUGGGUGGUGGUGCAUGGCCGUUCUUAGUUGGUGGAGUGAUCUGUCUGGUUAAUUUCGAUAACGAACGAACGAGACCUUAGCCUGCUAAAUAGGAUCUCUAGAACCCCCCUGGUUCUGGCAUCACUUCUUAGAGCGGACUUUGCGUGUCUAACGCAUAGCGAAGCUCUUGACGGCAAUAACAGGAUCUGAUGACUGCCCUUAGAUGUUCUGGGCUGCACGCGCGCUACACUGAUGCAUGCAACGAGUUUUUACCUUGGCCGGCAGUCUAGGUAAUCUUUUGAGUAUGCAUCGUGAUGGGGAUAGAUUAUUGCAAUUAUUAAUCUUCAACGAGGAAUGCCUAGUAGGCGCAAGUCAGCAGCUUGCGCCGAUUACGUCCCUGCCCCUUGUACACACCGCCCGUCGCUGCAACCGAUCGGAGGGUCCUGUGAAUUCAUCGGACGGACCAGCCCCGUUUCGUGCGGGCGUGGCCGGAAGUUGCGUAAAUAGAGCCCUCUAAAGGAUGCAAAAGUCGUAACACGGUUCCGUAGGUGAACCUGCAGAAGGAUCCA
rnacentral:rRNA from 1 species